GCUCCGGUAGCCUAGGGGUUAGAGCGUCCACCUCAGAUGCGAGAGGUCGCAGGUUCGAACCCAGGCCGAGUCA